rnacentral:rRNA from 1 species
UUUCCAGAGAUGGAUUGGUGCCUUCGGGAACCGUGAGACAGGUGCUGCAUGGCUGUCGUCAGCUCGUGUUGUGAAAUGUUGGGUUAAGUCCCGCAACGAGCGCAACCCUUAUCCUUUGUUGCCAGCGAUUCGGUCGGGAACUCAAAGGAGACUGCCAGUGAUAAACUGGAGGAAGGUGGGGAUGACGUCAAGUCAUCAUGGCCCUUACGACCAGGGCUACACACGUGCUACAAUGGCGCAUACAAAGAGAAGCGACCUCGC